GGUUGGUCUGAGUGCAGUGGUGUUUACCACUAACUGAUCACAACCAGUUACAGAUUCCUUUGUUCCUUCUCCACUUCCACUGCUUCACUUGACCAGCCUUAA
rnacentral:Y_RNA from 1 species